AGUAGGCUUGUUAUGGAGCUCAUGUUUUUUUUACCCGUCAUUUUGACUCUUUGUCUGGAAUAUUAUAUCGUAUAUUAUCAUUUUCAAUAUUAAAAUCAGGUUUUAAUAUUUAAAAUGUUAAAACAUAAUAUAAUAGUAUUCUAGACAAAGCUUCAAAAAUGAUGGGUAAAAAACAUGAGCUCCAUAACAAGCCUACU